UAUCAAUAAGCGGAGGAAAAGAAACCAACAGGGAUUGCCCUAGUAACGGCGAGUGAAGCGGCAAAAGCUCAAAUUUGAAAUCUGGCAUCUUUGGUGUCCGAAUUGUAAUUUGGAGAGGCAACUUCAGGCAGGACCCAGUCUAUGUUCCUUGGAACAGGACGUCAUAGAGGGUGAGAAUCCCGUUCUUGACUGGCUGUUCCUGCUAGUACGUAGUGCCUUCUACGAGUCGAGUUGUUUGGGAAUGCAGCUCAAAAUGGGUGGUAAAUUUCAUCUAAAGCUAAAUAUUGGCGAGAGACCGAUAGCGCACAAGUAGAGUGAUCGAAAGAUGAAAAGCACUUUGAAAAUAGAGUCAAAAAGUACGUGAAAUUGUUGAAAGGGAAGCGCUUGAGACCAGACUCAGCCUUUGGCAAACAAGUG
rnacentral:rRNA from 1 species